AAUCUACAUUGAACAAUAGUACAGGUAUACUUAUAAAUUAACACAAGAGUAAAGUUUCUCUGAUAUACAGAAUGAGGAGGAUCUAAACUUCCAUCAGUUCAUAUAUGUACAGACUCUACUGAAACGCCACCCUGAAUGGCCAGAGGAAAAGAGUUGGUUUCGAAGGAAAGUGUAUGACUGGGAUCCUCACUUUAAAUUCCCUAACAGGAUGAUCGGCACAUCCAUUAUCUCUUUGAUUGGCUUGUACACGUUGACCCUAGCAGACUACAGCUUGAGUGACUACACUUUUGACAAGCUAGAUGCUUUGAUAGACUCACUUGCAGAGAUUGCAUUG